GUUUGGCCAUACCACCCUGAACAUGCAUGAUUUCAUCCAAUCUSGAAAUCUAACCAGGGUAGGGUCUGGUUAGUACUUAAAUGGGAGACAGUCUGGGAAUACCAGGUGCUAUGAGCU
rnacentral:rRNA from 1 species